UACCAUGAUGAUUCUUUUCGUACAUUUAUAUACGCUGGAAAUUACCGACCGAGACCUUCGGGUCUCUGACGAUAACAAAUGGCUGAUAUCUGAUC
rnacentral:snoRNA from 1 species